rnacentral:rRNA from 1 species
CAAGAGCGUAUGUAAAAGUUGUUGCAGUUAAAAAGCUCGUAGUUGAACCUUGGGUUUGGUUGGCCGGUCCGCUUUUUUGCGAGUACUGGAUUCAACCGAGCCUUUCCUUCUGGCUAACCAGUCGUUUCGGCGGCUGGCGAACCAGGAUUUUUACUUUGAGAAAAUUAGAGUGUUCAAAGCAGGCAUUAGCUUGAAUAUAUUAGCAUGGAAUAAUAGAAUAGGACGUUAUGGUUCUAUUUUGUUGGUUUCUAGGACCAUCGUAAUGAUUAAUAGGGACGGUCGGGGGCAUCAGUAUUCAGUUGUCAGAGGUGAAAUUCUUGGAUUUACUGAAGACUAACUACCGCGAAAGCAUUUGCCAAGGACGUUUUCAUUAA